AAGAAAGUGGUAUCCACACAAUGAGUUGCUAUGGAAAUGAACUGAGAGGACAGCAUGGCAGAAAAGAAAACACAGACUUCCCAGCUUCAAGUCCCAAUUCUGCAUCUUUCCAGGUGAUUCUGAUGUACAGUUAUAUUUAAAAAUUAGAGCCUCAGGGACAGGAAGAAGAGAGGAAGAACCUGAGUGGACAGCCAAAUGACCUGCUCCAAUCAUCGAGAGGACACUGUCACUAAAGGAUGAAGGAAAGGGAGAUGAGAAAAUGGGAAAGGAUCUCAGGAAGAAAAUGGAAAGGUCCGAGUUAAAUGUGAUUUACUUUGCAAUGUUAUUCAGCUAACUGUGCUGAUACUGAAAGUCACCCUAAAAAGCAUGUGCUCUUGGGGGACUCGGCAGAGUUAGGCUAUCAUCUUCCCAAAGGUAUGAACCUGAGACAAGUAGCCUUUCAAGGUUUUUUUCCCCAUAUCUGUGGUUAUGAUGGCUGUGGGAGAGUCAGGUGGAAGGUGUACUGAAGCCAGAGCUGCUAGCAAGAACAAGUAACUGCCAAAGUUGGUACAUUUCACCUAACCUCAUACCUCUUGGAUCUUAUUUUGUUCCUACAAGAGAUGCUUAUGCCAUCAGCUGAAAACUUCACUGACAUACUCACUGUGAAAUAAUUGAAGAGAAAGGAAGGGACAAAACUCUGAGGUUUUGUACAAGUGUCACAGGAAACAAAGUGAAAUGUUGGACUGCAGGAAUCUGAGACCAAACUGCUGCUCUGGUCUUGAACAGCUGUUCACCUAGAGAGCUCACUGUGCAGUUGUUCCUGAUGGCCAGCUUCAUUUUUUUGAAGAAGUUUUAUUAAGAAGAGUUUUAUUAAGAAGUAAACUGGACAGAUUACUAGACUGCUUUAGCAAAGGUUAAAACAGCCAACAUGGAGUCUCCUGGUGGUAAUUUAAAGAGCUGAUGACAGACUUUAUCUAAGCAUGCUAACCUUAAGAGUUUAGAUUUUCUACUUCCAUCAUCAACUUCCUUUUUAUUUCUAUUAGAGUCUGGGAAGGUUUUAUCCCCACCACAACCUCAACCCCCAGCCAAUGAGACCUACCUGGGCAGGCUUGGGAGGGUCUCAGCAACUCAAAAGCAGUCAAAUAUUUUGUUUUGCUUUUUUCUCAAAUAUCAGUCAGAAGAAAAAGUGACCUUUUAGGAGCAAAGUUUCAUAAAGAAUGUGUAGACUAUGUCCCUUUUACCCAGGUUAUUAGGCCAUUCUUGCAUUGCUAUAGAGAAAUACCUGAGACUGGGCAAUUUAUAAAGAAAAAAGGUUUAAUUGGCUUAUGAUUCUGCAGAUUGACAGGAGGCAUGGUGCUGGCAUCUGCUCAGCUUCUGGGGAGGCCUCAGGAAACUUACAAUUAUGGUGGAAGGUGAGUCUUACACAGCAGUAGUAGGAGCAAGAGAGAGAAGGGAGAGGGGCUACACACUCUUAAACAACCAGAUCUCAUGAGAACUCACCUACUGUCAAUAACACAGUACCAAGAGGGAUGAAGCUAAACCAUUCAUGAGAAACCCACCCCCAUGAUCCAGUUACCUCCCACCAGGCCCCACCUCCAACAUUGGGGAUUACAAUUUGACAUGAGAUUUAGGUAGGGACACAUUUCCAAAUUAUAUCACCUAAUAGUACCCAAUUGGAUCAAACACAUUUCAGAAGCUGUUUCAGCAAAGAUUUAGAACAAAGCAACUCCCUCAGCCUAUGGGAAUAGCAUGUCAAACCUUAAGGAGAAGGUAAGGCAUCUUUUUUAUUAAAUUUCAGGCUGGAAAUUCUUUCAUGAGUCAAGUUUUUGUUGCUUUUUUUUUUUUUAACAGCUUCCUGUUUCAUCCAACCAGCCACUACUUUAACCAAGUUUAGCAUAAUUGCCAAAAGAGAAAUUCCUCAAACCAUCAGCAGCAUUAAUUAGCUUUGACUGUAACUUUUCAAGAACAAAUUGUCAUCAUGUAGGGCAGCAAGUUCCACAGUUUCUCUGUGAAGAAAAAAAUUAGGCAGCAUCUGAAGGGAACGUCAAAAAUGAAUUCUCUACUCAAGGCUUACUUUCAUGGACAGCAUAGAUCUAACCUGUUGACUUGAACAUCGCUUAGUAUCAGCAAGUAAUAAAAGGGGAAAGAAAGGAAGCAGAAAACAUAAAGAAAGGUGGGGGAAAGGGAAAGCAAAGACCAGUGAAAAGAUCAAUUUGAACAUAGGAUGUUUAUGCUAAAUAGAUUAUCAGUUUCCAGGAGCCUUGCAGAUCCAGGUAUUUAAUAUAUCUACAUUAUGUAUUGACAGAAAAGUCAUGCCCAUGGAUGCUUGGUAUUCAUUAUAGUAGUAUUUGUAUCUCAUAUCAUUAUAAAGAGAAAAUGAAACAACUUACUAUAAAUACAUUAAAUUAAUGGAUAUAAUUGGGGAGAGAGUUGGGGUUUGUUUGAUUGAGUGGAUAUAUUAGCCAUUAAACAGAAUGGAGAAAGCAACUCUCCCUCCAAGUCAAAAUAGGUUGCUAAAAGGAUGAGAUUCAAGAAAAGUAAGAGAUGAUGCCUUUCCAACUCAAUGACAUUAGGAAUAGUGUUCACGACACAUGGUCCUCUGUUUAAUGAGAAUAGCUACUUACCAUCAUGACUUCCAGAAAAAAAAAAAAAAAAGGGUCAAGAGCUCUGGCUCAAGGAGGCAGGAUCUAGGCUUUAAGUCCCUAGAGGGCAGGCUCUAUGGCCAUCUGCCUUCACUCCUGAAUUACUGGCACAUAGUAAAAGUCUUGGAAUGUCACAAAUAUUCAGUAGACAAGAGUCAAUGACCCAGACAGCUAGGAAAGAAUUCCCCUAAAAGUCAGCCCAUAUUCCCAAGACCUGGGGAAUUUGAAGGAAUUGGAAGAUGUAAGAAAAAAUAAAUAAAUAAAAACAUGCUCUGUAGGAAAAGAAAUUAAGAGUUGUAGAUUAUGAAGUGAUGAUUUGAAUAGAUUUUGCAGACUGAAGAUUCUUGGGUAUUGCUAAUGUCUACAUCCAUUUGGUAUGUUGCAAGUUUUUACAUAUGUAUAUAUAUGUGUAAAUAUGUAUAUAUGUGUAAAUAUAUAUGUAUAUAUGUAUAAAAUACAUCUAUAUCUAGUAUAGAGUAUUAGAAUUAAAUUUCUUAAUUACUUUGUGAAUAGACUGCUUACCCUGUGUUUCAAAUGUUAUACAGAAUUUUAGUAUAGUUGAUUCUGAUACCCUGAAAUACUCCAUGAAACAAAUUGCUUGGUGAAAUUGAUACAAAAUUAAAUAGAUCAUGAUCAUAAAAUUGUUGUUUCACUCUGUACCAAGGAAAAUUAAAUAGAGAUAAAAGUGGAGUAAAUAAGUAGCAUACACAGACCAUGACCAGAAAAUGCACACAUUCAUGCCACCACUCUCGGAUUCCCACUGAUGGCAGAGUAAGGAAUCCAUCACAGCUCUCUCCCAUUUGAGUAUGCGUGCUACACCUAACUCUCUGGCUGGUGCUCUAGACAUCUGUAAAUAACUGAUUGGGAUUACUGUGGAGGUUAAAACUUCAUCACAAUCCCAGACUUUAGCCGUAAGAUCUAAGUAACUGCUAAAAUAAAGCAACCCACAUAUUUAGCGCUAUGCUUUCUAGUAGCCCAGCAAAAAAAAAAAAAAAAAAAAAAAAAAGUAUGCUGUGUAGUUUUUAUUGGCAAAAAAGAUAAAAUCAAAAGUUUCUAAAGGAAGCAAAUGAUUUUUAAAAAAUAUUUUUUCUAUAAAAUAAAUUUCCGAUGCAGGCUUUUUUUUUAUAGGGACACAAUAUUUUCAAAAAUAUUUCUAUAGAAAAUGUAACAGGUUUCAUAUCGUCUUAGAAUAUCAUUCAGUUGACCAACAUAUGAUAUGAGAGCAUUGCAUUUUGACCUCUGGAUCCAGAGGCUGUGCAAAUUCAAGGAGAGAGCAGAGAACAUUUAGAGAAAUAAUUGGCUUCUGUGUCCUUCAAACACCACUUCUCUCACUAUAUUUUUGAUAACAGUUUGAUAUCUGCAAACUGCUAUUCCCUAUUUUUUAUUCUCAUUAGAGAUUACAUUGCUAUUUUUUAAUAGAAAAUAAAGGGCACAAUCAAGAUUUCUCAAGGAAUUCUUCCUUGCAGGAAGGUGGGUGAUGAAAAACCUUAUCGAUUUCAAAAGAGUUAUUGAACACUUAAAAUGUAGCAACUGCUGUGGUAGCCACCACAGGAACAAAGAUAAACAAAACAAAAAUUCAGGAUGUUGAUGAGUUAAAGAAUGAAUGAAGAUGAGUAAAUGCAGACCCAGUGAAACACAGAUUACUCUUGCAAGACACUUGACCUCAAAGAAAAGGAGCAAUAGUUAAAGGUGAAUGCAAGUCAGGUUCACUUAAAUCAUAUUAUGGAAAUGCCCAAAACAUA
rnacentral:lncRNA from 10 species